ACUCAGUUCCUGGGUUUUUUUAUCCAACAUUUGACCGUCCAUCUUAUAUGAAUGUUUUUUUUAUAAUUACUAUUUUUAUUAUUGUUAGAUGAUAAAAUAUGAAUAAUAUUUUAUGCAUGAUUUAUUAUUUUAAAGUUUUUCAUAACUUUUUCAAAUAAGACGAACAGUUGAACAUUAGACACAUAAACCCAG
rnacentral:pre_miRNA from 1 species